rnacentral:rRNA from 1 species
AUUGAACGCUGGCGGCAGGCCUAACACAUGCAAGUCGAGCGAGUGGCGGACGGGUGAGUAAUGUAUGGGGAUCUGCCCGAUGGAGGGGGAUAACUACUGGAAACGGUGGCUAAUACCGCAUACCAUCGGAUGUACCCAGAUGGGAUUAGCUAGUUGGUGGGGUAACGGCUCACCUAGGCGACGAUCCCUAGCUGGUCUGAGAGGAUGACCAGCCACACUGGAACUGAGACACGGUCCAGACUCCUACGGGAGGCAGCAGUGGGGAAUAUUGCACAAUGGGCGCAAGCCUGAUGCAGCCAUGCCGCGUGUAUGAAGAAGGCCUUAGGGUUGUAAAGUACUUUCAGCGGGGAGGCGUUACCCGCAGAAGAAGCACCGGCUAACUCCGUGCCAGCAGCCGCGGUAAUUC